rnacentral:lncRNA from 1 species
UUUAUUUAUUUAUUUAUUUUUUUGUCUUUUUGCUAUUUCUUUGGGCCGAUCCUGCGGCAUAUGGAGGUUCCCAGGCUAGGGGUCGAAUCGGAGCUGUAGCCACUGGCCUACACCAGAGCCACAGCAACGCGGGAUCCGAGCCACGUCUGCAACCUACACCACAGCUCACGGCAACGCUGGAUCGUUAACCCACUGAGCAAGGGCAGGGACUGAACCCGCAACCUCAUGGUUCCCAGUCGGAUUCGUUAACCACUGCGCCACGAUGGGAACUCCAGUAAUUGCUUUAAAUGUAAAGAGACAACAUGCUCCAAUCAAAAGACAGAAUGCCUGAAUGGAUACCGAAAUAAGACUUGCACAUCCGCUUCCUGCAGGUGAUUCACUUCAGAACUAAAGACACCCACAAACGGAAAGUGCGGUGACGGUGAAAGGCAUUCUACCCACGUGGCAGACGUCAGGGCGGCAAUGCUUACAUCAUACAAAGCAGACUUUAAAACAAAGACUGUUGCAGGAGACAAAAAGGACAGAGCAGCCCGAUCACAGGAUUAUUCCAAGAAGAGCUAACGCUUGUAAAUACACAUGCACCCCGCAUGAGAGCACUUGAAUAUCGAAAGCAAGCAUGAGCAGACAUAACGGGGACACUGACCCGACAGGAUAAUGGUCAGGGACCCACCACCCCACCGACAUCCACCAACAGGUCAUCCAGACGGAAGCUCGACAAGGACACACGGGCCGUGAGCAGCACAUUAGAUCAAUUCUCUCUCUCUCUCUCUCUCCCAUCACCUCCAAAAGCGGCAGGAGAUAGACUUGUUCCAAGCGCAAAGGAAACACACUCCUUUGCCACAAAAUAAGCCUUGCGAAUUUUAAGACAACUGAAACCACAUCAAGCAUUUUUUUCUGACCCCAACGCUAUGAGACUAGAAAUCAACUACAAGAAAAUAACGGCAAAGCCCCACAGACAUGUGGAGGCUACACGAUACGCUUCUCAACAACCAGGGGAUCCAGGCAAAGCAGAAGCCCCCAAAUACCCGGGAACAAAGGAAAAUGGAACCGCAAUCAUUCAAAGUCUAUGGGACGCAGCCCAAAGAGUUAAGAGGACUUGUAUGACGCUACAGGCUUGCUCCAGGAAAAAAACCCUCAACCAACUUAGAGGAACCAGAACAGGAAGGGACAAAACCCAAGGAGCAAAGAAAUCACAAAGAUCAGAGCAGAAAUAAAGGCAAGUGAGUCUAACAAUAGAAAAGGCCAAUGAAACUCAGAGGCAGCUCUUUGAAAAGACAAAAUUGAUCAACAUUUGGCCAGACUCACCAAGAGGGAAAAAAAAAGGGCCCAAAUCAAUAACAUCAGAAAUAAAAAAAAAAGAAAAGUUAUGACAGACACCACAGAAGGGCACAGGAUCAUGAGAGACUACAACAAACAGCUAUACGCCAAUAAAACGGACAACCUAAGAAGAAAUGAACAAAUUCCUAGAAAUGUAGGCUCAUCCCAUUUGGACCAGGAAGUAAAAGAAAACUAUGCACAGACCAAUUAGGAGCAAUGACAUUGAAUCAGUCCUUGAAAAAUUCUCAAACAAAAGUGCAGGACCGGAUGGCUUCACAGGUAAACUGCUCCCAAACAUUUAGAGAAGCGUUAACCCCAAACCUUCUCCAACUGCUGCAAAAAAAAAGGAGGAGAUGGAACCCUUCUGAACUCACUCUAGAAGGCCAGCACCACCCACGACAAAACCAAAGACAGCACAAACAAAGAAAACGGCAAGUCAGUAUCACUGAUCCACAAAGGUGCAAAAAUCCUCAGCAAAACCUGAGCAAACCAAAACCAAAUUCACCGCACAGAAAGGCUCAGACACAAGGAUCAUUUGGAGUUUAUCCCAAGGAUGCAAGGAUAGUUCAGCAUCUGCUAAGCACUGUGAUGCCCAAGGAUAACAAACUGCAGAAGAAAAGCAGGAGUUCCUGCUGCGGCUCAGUGGGAAUGAACCUGACAAGCAUCCACGAGGAUGCAGGUUCGAUCCCUGGCCUCGCUCAGUGGGUUAAGGACUCGGCGUUGCUGCAAGCUGUGGUGUAGGUUGCUGCACGGCUGUGGCUGUGGCGUGGGCCAGCAGCUGCAGCUCCGAUCUGACCCCUAGACUGGGAACUACCAUAUGCCCUGGCUAGAGCCCUAAAAAAAAAAAAGAAAAAAAGUUUGGAUGGAAACACAGAAGACCCCAAAUUGCCAAAAUACUCUUAAUAACAGAACGAGACAUAUCACGCUGCCCAGUUUCAGACGUCGCCACAAAGCUAUUGUGAAGAAGCCUGGCCCAAGAAACAGACACAUACAUCAAUGGAAUAGAAUCAAGAGCCCAGAAAUGGUCAAUUGAUCUAUGACAAUGCAGAAAAGAUGGUCCUUUUAUGAGCUGAGGUGCAGGUCACAGAUGUGGCACGGAUCCUGCGUGGCUGUGGCUGUGGUGUAGGCUGGUGGCUGCAGCUCCGAUGGGACCUCUAGUGUGGGAACCUCCAUAGGACAUAGGUGUGGCCCUAAAAAGACAAAAAAAGGCAAAACGACAAAAUAAAACACAACGAAACCUUAAUAGGGUCUACACUUAGGUGGGCUGGCACCACAAAGACCCAGGGCUACCAUUUACCAUGCGGACAGAGUACAGAUGGACAGACAGGCAGGUGGUCAACUCAGUGGCCAAGGAAGAUGUGCCAGAUUUCUUUGGAUCGGUAAACGCAGCCUCUGGUCCUAAUAGCUCCUAGCGGGCUUGGUGAGAAAGCCUUUCUCAGCUGGAUAAGGAGGAUCUCCUCCAAGGCCCCCUCGGGUGAGGGAGGGCCGGGUGGGGGACCAGCGCAGUUCACCUCCCAAGGUGUGCGGGUGAGACGGGAAGGAACAGAUUCCCAGGACAGAGGGAGCCCUCCGUUGAGGUCCCAAGGUUCGUGCCAGGCAGCUUCCUGCGACAUCAUGGAAGGAUGGGUGCGCUAAAAAGCCACGGUGCUUCUCCACACUGCUGGAUCAAUGAGCAGAGUCAUCCGUGAGACGGCACGACCUAGAACGGCCAUGCAUCGCCUGGAAAACCUACAAAACACGCGCAGGACAGAGAGGAAGCUGUCUGACGGGACCAGAGGAGAAACGCAGAGGACAGAGGUCCGAGCCUUUGGGUGGCAAACUCAGCAUCAUAGAGAUGUCAAGUCUUGUAAACUCACAGCAGUGCCUGCAGAAACGGAAAACGCUUCCAGGAAGUUUUCUUACCGAACCAGGUGCAUGUGCUCGAUGGGCAGCCUGCCCAACGCGGAGACGCCAGGGUUCGCCGCACAGAAAGCUGCCCGGGGAUGGGAACAGGGCGAGGGGCUGGGGUAUCUGCUGGAGAAGCAGCGGGGUGGUCCAGGGAGAGGGGAGCAAGGCAGAAAGGUGACUGGACAUAAGAACAAGGUGCAUCUUUCUGAACAGGUGCGACGAAGCUGCAAGCUUCUUCUGGGGUGGCACCUUCAGAAAGGGGGUUCUUGGCUCGUUGUGGGGGUGGACUUUGAGGCCGGCAGUCCUGGCCGGUCUUAACCUGCUUGUGUCCAAAUGAGACACAGCUGAAACCAAGUUCCUGGAAAGCAACAGGGCCAAACCCCUUAAACCGGCUCAGAGGACUUGCAAAUCUUGCAGCAACGAUGCAAGGAGCUGAUGGGGGAGGCUGGUUCCAGGUGCGAGGAAAUCUUACCCAUUGUCACCUUCAGGUCAGCAGGACAAGCUCAUUUUUAUUUUGGUGACAGGCUGUGGCAAUCAAAUGUUAUCACUCAACUCACCAGUGACGAAAAAGAGAAUGAAUGUGGGAAACGAAUCCGAGUAGCAUCCAUGAGGACGCAGGUUCGAUCCCAGGUUUCACCCAGUGGGUUGGGGAGCCGCUGUGGCUGUGGGGUAGGCCAGCAGCUGUAGCUCCAGUUUGACCCCCUAAUCUGGGAACUUCCUAUACCGCAGGUGUGGCCCU